CAGCCGCCGCGGUAAAACGUAGGUGGCAAGCGUUGUCCGGAAUUAUUGGGCGCAAAGGGCUCGCAGGUGGUUUCUUAAGUCUGAUGUGAAAGCCCCCGGCUCAACCGGGGAGGGUCAUUGGAAACUGGGAAACUUGAGUGCAGAAGAGGAGAGUGGAAUUCCACGUGUAGCGGUGAAAUGCGUAGAGAUGUGGAGGAACACCAGUGGCGAAGGCGACUCUCUGGUCUGUAACCGACGCUGAGGAGCGAAAGCGUGGGGAGCGAACAGGAUUAGAUACCCCCGUAGUCCCUGUCUCUUAUAC
rnacentral:rRNA from 1 species